rnacentral:rRNA from 1 species
ACGAACGCUGGCGGCGUGCCUAAUACAUGCAAGUCGAGCGAAUCAAUGGGAGCUUGCUCCCUGAGAUUAGCGGCGGACGGGUGAGUAACACGUGGGUAACCUGCCUGUAAGACUGGGAUAACUUCGGGAAACCGGAGCUAAUACCGGAUACUUCUUUUCUCGCAUGAGAGAAGAUGGAAAGAUGGUUCUGCUAUCACUUACAGAUGGACCCGCGGCGUAUUAGCUAGUUGGUGAGGUAACGGCUCACCAAGGCGACGAUGCGUAGCCGACCUGAGAGGGUGAUCGGCCACACUGGGACUGAGACACGGCCCAGACUCCUACGGGAGGCAGCAGUAGGGAAUCUUCCGCAAUGGACGAAGGUCUGACGGAGCAACGCCGCGUGAGCGAAGAAGGCCUUCGGGUCGUAAAGCUCUGUUGUUAGGGAAGAACAAGUACAAGAGUAACUGCUUGUACCUUGACGGUACCUAACCAGAAAGCCACGGCUAACUACGUG